rnacentral:rRNA from 1 species
GACGAACGCUGGCGGCGUGCUUAACACAUGCAAGUCGAACGGAAAGACCCUGCUUUUGUGGGGUGCUCGAGUGGCGAACGGGUGAGUAAAACGUGAGUAACCUGCACUUGACUUUGGGAUAACUUCAGGGAACUGGGGCUAAUACCGGAUAGGAGCUCCUGCUGCAUGGUGGGGGUUGGAAAGUUUCGGCGGUUGGGGAUGGAUUCGCGGCUUAUCAGCUUGUUGGUGGGGUAGUGGCUUACCAAGGCUUUGACGGGUAGCCGGCCUGAGAGGGUGACCGGCCACAUUGGGACUGAGAUACGGCCCAGACUCCUACGGGAGGCAGCAGUGGGGAAUAUUGCACAAUGGGCGGAAGCCUGAUGCAGCAACGCCGCAUGCGGGAUGACGGCCUUCGGGCUGUAAACCGCUUUCGCCUGUGACGAAGCGUGAGUGACGGUAAUGGGUAAAGAAGCACCGGCUAACUACGUG